rnacentral:rRNA from 1 species
AUUGAACGCUGGCGGCAGGCUUAACACAUGCAAGUCGAGCGGAGAUGAGGUGCUUGCACCUUAUCUUAGCGGCGGACGGGUGAGUAAUGCUUAGGAAUCUGCCUAUUAGUGGGGGACAACAUUCAGAAAGGAAUGCUAAUACCGCAUACGCCCUACGGGGGAAAGCAGGGGAUCUUCGGACCUUGCGCUAAUAGAUGAGCCUAAGUCGGAUUAGCUAGUUGGUGGGGUAAAGGCCUACCAAGGCGACGAUCUGUAGCGGGUCUGAGAGGAUGAUACGCCACACUGGGACUGAGACACGGCCCAGACUCCUACGGGAGGCAGCAGUGGGGAAUAUUGGACAAUGGGCGGAAGCCUGAUCCAGCCAUGCCGCGUGUGUGAAGAAGGCCUUUUGGUUGUAAAGCACUUUAAGCGAGGAGGAGGCUACCUGGAUUAAUACUCUAGGAUAGUGGACGUUACUCGCAGAAUAAGCACCGGCUAACUCUGUGCCAGCCGCCGCGGUAACAC